rnacentral:lncRNA from 1 species
CAUUAUUUCUGGACAGUCAGACGCUUGAUGGCUUUCUUUCCUUUUAAUGCCUUAUUAAAUUUUCCACAUUUCUGUUCUAAUCAUGCAGUGCCUGUGUAAUCAGUGGAAAUAGUAUGUACUGUAAGAAUUAGCUUUUUAUUAGAUUUUAAGAUCUGAACAAAGAUGAAAUGCAGUUUAGAUUUCACCUGGCCCCAGCAUGGGCUGCUUUAUUGUCACCCAAGUGAAGUCCUAAAGCGAAACCAGAGUCUGGAUGUGACCGGCACUAACCUGCUCCUCAGAGGCGACCAGCCCAUGAUGGCGGAUUUCAUCACAAGGCGACUUGGCACUGAGCUACCAUUUGCUGGUCACAUCGGGCAAUCAUGUUGCUCUUACUACGCAGAAAUCCAAAUCUUUGUCCAAACUCAACCUCUUGAUUAACUUUCAUUUAAGUAGAUGUUUAUUUUUGAAAGGGUGAGUUUUCCUUCUUUUUUUUUUUUUCUUUCUUUGCAGCUGUCUUGGCGCUGUCUCAUUCCAGCUUGCAGAGGAAGCUUCUGAGUCAGAAAUGGGGUCAAGCCGUGUUUCUGGUGACGUUCCCAGAGCUCUGAGAAAGACGGACUCUCCUGGGACUUGAUGCCUGCUUCUGCAAACAGCUUGCAGAGAGCCACGAGAGAAGUGCAUCAGGAUUCUGCCAAAGCACUGGUGUAGCCCACCCUUGACCGUAUUUGAAAGACCCUUAGCACCCUCCAUAAACGAACAUUUCCAGAAAGCCUUGCUCAUGGGAAGAGGAAGCAUAAAAGACCGAGAAGGAAGCAGCCUGGGUUUGUGCUGAUGCCAGAAACUGUCUUUGAGGGACCAGAAGCCUGAGGUCUGCAGGGGAGGAAUGCUGACAGAUGCGCACAUUUGCUUGGGCGUAGGUAGCGGCCUGCAUCCCGGGAAGCGUGGCCCUGCUUUCAAAUGGGCUGCGUGUCAUAGAAGUGGAAGCCAGCUCUCAGAACAAGAGGCCACUGGAUCACGAAGCAGCUGUCUGGCAGCCCUUUUUCCUAUGCAGCAGCCGUCCCUGAGUUGUGACUGUCACCGCUCAGCAGUUUCUCAAGGCCUCGUUUAUUUGGCGCAAGAGACAGAGCAGUCCUGGCUCGGCUUGUCUCAGAAGGAGCGGAAUUUUCUGCAGAAGACAAGACAAUGGUAAAAGGAUGCCUGGAGCAGACACAUAGUUCCUGGGGGACCAGAAUAAAGGG